rnacentral:rRNA from 1 species
CCCUUAGAUGUUCUGGGCCGCACGCGCGCUACACUGAUGCAUUCAACGAGCCUAUCCUUGACCGACAGGUCCGGGUAAUCUUUGAAUCUGCAUCGUGACGGGGAUAGAUUAUUGCAAUUAUUAAUCUUCAACGAGGAAUGCCUAGUAGGCGCAAGUCAUCAGCUUGCGUCGAUUACGUCCCUGCCCUUUGUACACACCGCCCGUCGCUCCUACCGAUUGGGUGUGCUGGUGAAAUGUACGGAUCGGCCGUUUGUCGCGGUUUCCGCGUCAUGUGGCUGAGAAGUUCAUUAAACCCUCCCACCUAGAGGAAGGAGAAGUCGUAACA